rnacentral:rRNA from 1 species
UACGAAGGGGGCUAGCGUUGCUCGGAAUCACUGGGCGUAAAGGGUGCGUAGGCGGCUCUUUAAGUCAGGGGUGAAAUCCUGGAGCUCAACUCCAGAACUGCCUUUGAUACUGAAGAUCUUGAGUUCGGGAGAGGUGAGUGGAACUGCGAGUGUAGAGGUGAAAUUCGUAGAUAUUCGCAAGAACACCAGUGGCGAAGGCGGCUCACUGGCCCGAUACUGACGCUGAGGCACGAAAGCGUGGGGAGCAAACAGG